ACGCGCUACCUAACGGUAUAAAAUGUCCCGAGCGAACUCGACAGUUCGGCAUUCACAGAGCGAGCACAUGUCCGAUUUUCGAUAUUUUCUGAAAUUGUUUGGAAUUUAUUAUAUUUUAAAAUGUACCACUGCAAAAUAAUAUCAAUCGAAUCGCGAAUUUUCCAUGAAAAAUAAUUGAACUAAUAAUUUUGAAAAUUUAAAAUUAUUGUAGAAACGAUUCAUCAUUAUUAAUUAUUCAUAACACCGCAAUUCAAUUUCAAAAUAUAUUUACAAAAUGGCUAUCUU